GGUACUAUGGCUCAGUGGUAGAGCAUCUGUUUGAUAUGCAGAAAGACCCAGGUUCAGUCCCCUGGCAUAUCCA
rnacentral:tRNA from 1 species